rnacentral:lncRNA from 8 species
AUGAAUAUUGAAAAUAAUCUACUGCUUUGUGCCUUGGUGAUCUUUACCAGUUCAUCGGAGACAAAGGGUCAGAGCAUUUCUUUGCCCCCUGUUGUCACCCCAGGCGCCCUCCAGCAUGAGGGCAUGUCCAUUGCAUCACCAGUCCUCCCAUUGGUCAAUGAAGAUGAGGAGGAGCCGCAGCCAGAGCCAAGUCCUGCCAAACAGACCUCUCCAGACCAAACGAAUGGAGCCCCAACCAAACCAGCUUUUAUUGACGGCGACAGGCUGCUUCAAUCAGAGUCUGUUACAGAUGCUGGUGACUGGGAUGACAUGGCUGUGACCAAUCAGAUGACCACGUCUCUGCCUACACCUGCACCUGCACACACAGUCAACACCGUUACCGCCACCCAAGACAACGCCACUCUCACAGACAGCUCCUCCUCCUCGUCCCCUGUAAAAAGCACCUCCCCUGCAGGACUGCCCUCCACCCUAGGGGACACAACCUACCCUGUCCCUGCUGGAGGCCACCUCACCACCUCUACUCCUCCUGUUUUAGAUACCACCCCACCUCCAUCCCAUGUUUUUACACCGAUCCAGUCCUCUGUCCAACCCAGCACCCCAGCACUGACCCCUGCCCCAACCCAAACCCUCCCCACGGAAGACCCCAAGACCUCCGGCCCAGUCCAUGUCCCUGCCAGCCCGCCUCACCAGGAGGUUCCAUCAGAGCUCACCGUUGGAGAUGAGGGGCCACAGCUCCAAUCUCCUCUGGACCCUUUGCUGGCUAGCCUGGUCUCUAUCUUUAUCAUCACCACAGCCAUAGUCUCUGUUGUCCUCUUCCUCAAAUUCCGCCAACGGACCGACCACCCUGACUUCCACCGGCUGCAGGAUCUGCCCAUGGAUGACUUGAUGGAAGGCACACCACUUUCCAGAUACACUUACAGUUACUGA